CACACACACAUGCACGCAUGCAUACUAAGCCACUUCAGUUGUGUCAGACUCUUUGUGACCUCAUGGACUGUGUAACCCACCAGGUUUCUCUGUCCAUGGAAUUUCCAGGCAAGAACACUGAAGCGGGUUGCCAUGGUCUCCUGAAAGGGAUCUUCCUGAGCCAGGGAUUGAGCCCACGUCUCUUAUGUCUCCUGCAUUGGCAGAUAAGAACAGGGAGGAUCAGAGACAACCUAAGUUACCCAAGGACAAAGUCAUAUCCCAGGUCACCGGCAAAGGUGGUGGACAAUUCUGGUCAUCUGGGGCAGGAUCUGCUCUCUUUUCGAACACAAGGCCUCAGGCCAUCCACAGUAGUUCUCAACAUCUCAUGAUGCAGCCCAGAGAAACAAGCCCUGAGUGAAAAGUGUCCUCAGGGCCGCAAACUGAUCAACAGCCGGACCUUGAGCCCACACAUCUCCUGGCUCCUGACCUUACUGCUUGGUGGGCACAAAAAGUGCCUGAGAGUGAACUUACGCCUCCAUUCACCAGGAAUGACCUUGCUGAAUAUACAGUGACUGUGUCUACACUGGCCAUGUUGCUUUUUCUGACUUCUCAUGAUGUCCCAUCUGUCUGGAAAGCUGGUGGACCUAUCCCUCAUUUAUUAAUUAAUUGCUACCUGUUUUUUGAUGCUUGCUCAUUGAAAGGAGAGCUAUAAUGAACCUAGAUAGCAUACUGAAAAGCAGAGACAUCACUUUGAUAGCAAAGUUUGUAUAGUCUAAGCUAUGGUUUUUCCAGUAGUCAUGUACAGAUGUGAAAGCUGCACCAUGAAGAAGGCUGAGUGCCAAGGAAUUGAUGCUUUUGAACUGUGGUGUUGGAGAAGACUCUUGAGAGUCCCUAGACUACAAGGAGAUCAAACCAGUCAAUCCUAAAGGAGAUCAACUCUGUCUAUUCAUUGGAAGGACUGAUGCUGAAGCUGAAGCUCCAAUACUUUGGUCACCUGACGUGAAGAGCUGAUUCACUGGAAAAGACCCUGAUGAUGGGAAAUAUUGAAGGGAAAAAGAGAAGGGGCAGCAGAGGAUGAGACAGUUAGAUCGCAUCAUUGACUCAACGGACAUGAAUUUUAGCAAACUCUGGGUAGAUCCAUUCCCCCUCUUAUAUGUUUUCAUAGACCCUGAUCAUAUAUGUAGCCCUUGUAAAAAC
ensembl:lncRNA